rnacentral:rRNA from 1 species
AUUGAACGCUGGCGGCAGGCCUAACACAUGCAAGUCGAGCGGAUGAAGGGGGCUUGCUCCUGGAUUCAGCGGCGGACGGGUGAGUAAUGCCUAGGAAUCUGCCUGGUAGUGGGGGAUAACGUCCGGAAACGGGCGCUAAUACCGCAUACGUCCUGAGGGAGAAAGUGGGGGAUCUUCGGACCUCACGCUAUCAGAUGAGCCUAGGUCGGAUUAGCUAGUUGGUGGGGUAAAGGCCUACCAAGGCGACGAUCCGUAACUGGUCUGAGAGGAUGAUCAGUCACACUGGAACUGAGACACGGUCCAGACUCCUACGGGAGGCAGCAGUGGGGAAUAUUAGACAAUGGGCGAAAGCCUGAUCCAGCCAUGCCGCGUGUGUGAAGAAGGUCUUCGGAUUGUAAAGCACUUUAAGUUGGGAGGAAGGGCAGUAAGUUAAUACCUUGCUGUUUUGACGUUACCAACAGAAUAAGCACCGGCUAACUUCGUG